GCUUGAACUAAUUAAAAGCGAGGAGAUCGAUCAUAUGAAGUUAGCAACAAAUUUUGAGAUGGAAAAUGUAUUUUAUUCUAAAAUUCUGUUGUUAAUGGCAUUAGACAGAACAAGCCAACAAACUCCUCUUAUUCGCACUCACCUCAAUAACUAUCAUCUCCUCUCUGAUGAAAUGUCUCUCUACACAGUUAAGAUAAAGAGGAAAGGAGGAAACGAAAAGGGUGUCUGGCAAAGUAUCAAUCGUACAAUGUUAUCAAAGGUGAUCACAUCUUACGACCAGUGAUAGCAUUCGAACCUCAUCCUUCCAUCACAGGAAGGGAGAAUCAUAUCAAGAUGAGUAAUUGAUGCUAGCUAACAAUGACAUUUGGGUGGCUAGAACAUGUAUCUGUCAUCCAAACCAGUAUCUCUUCUAAAAACAACCGCACAGCUGCAAUGCUACUCUGCUGCCUGGAGUUGGUUCAGAGAAGUCUUGAUGCUGAUAUAUGUCGUUGUGCACUGUAGUCUGCAAUGACAAACAUUGACAUGUGAAUCUGCAAGCAUUUUAUGUCAUGAAUGUUACUUUUGGGAGAAGAAAAACAGUUACUCUGGACAAGUCUACAGGUUGCAUGACAUGUACUGUAAUAGCUUCAUAAAUUGAGCUCCUAGGAUUCCGGACUCAUUGCCAUUCUGGCUUCUGUUCUUGGUUUAAACUUUGUAUUUUAUGUGAAGUCAUACAGAACAAAAACAAAAAGAUUGAAUCUUUCUGAAAGCUCAGGAUGUUAUUAGUGUAUUAAUCAAAUCUUAAUAAAGCCCACCACUUCCACUUGCAAUCCAAGCCCAUCACUUCACCAUAUACAUACGCCUACACAAACUCCAAUCCAUACAUUUAGUAGUAGUAGUAGUACUAGUAGUUCACUGUACCACAUUGGAUUUUGCUUUCACGAUUUGGCAAUCUGCAGCCUACGCUAUAUACGGAAUAGUGGCUUUGCGAAUUCUAAGCAUGAAGGAUUGUAGAUUGUGGUCUCUACAGGGAAAGGUUACUGGCGCCACAGUAAGCAGAGCAUCUUCUUCUUUUCUUUGGUCAAAGAAGCACAGCUUCUCAUAUUAGGCCCUCAGUUCCAGUCAGAAAAUCGAGUGUUUCAAAUCCGGCGUUAGGCCACUCAUCGCUCUUUGACCAGAUUUGAUCUUGUGCUUAUCAAUAAAUGGCAGCUGCUGCUGCUGAUGAUUCUUCUUCUUCUUCUUCUCGCAUUCGUGGCAGUUAUGAUGUCUUCUUGAGUUUUAGAGGGUUUGACACUCGCAAGAUCUUUGUUGGCCAUCUUUACAAUGCUCUACAAAGGAAAGCACUCGCUACCUUCAUAGAUACUGAACAGCUUGGAAAAGGGGACGUUCUCGGGGUGCUACUGAAAGCUAUUGACGCGUCAAAGCUUUCGGUGGUAGUUUUAUCUGAGAACUUUGCCUAUUCCAAAUGGUGCUUACUGGAACUCGAAAAAAUCGUGGAAUGCAUGGAAACAAAGAAUCAUAUAGUGGUUCCCAUUUUCUACCAAGUAGAUCCGGCUGAUGUUCGUUAUGUGAGGGGAAGUUUCAGCAAAGCGUUUGAACAACAUGAGCACAAGUCCAGGGGGACCCCCGAAGAACGGAAGCGGUGGAAGUCUGCUCUAAUUAGAGCCGGCUAUAUUAAUGGCUGGGAUUCCCGCAAAUACGAGGAUGAUGUCAAGCUUAUUGAUGAUGUUGUUAAAAAUGUUUUAAAACAGUUGAGCAACAUCAGGGAAAGUAAAUCCAAUGAUGACUUGGUUGGAAUGGAUUCCCACAUAAGCAACAUGAAGUCUCUGUUAAGUGCUUAUGGGUCGGGGGAUAUCUGCAUUGUUGGAAUAUGGGGUAUGGGUGGUAUAGGGAAGACAACCAUCGCUAGAGCUGUUUAUGAGGAAAUGUGUGGAAACUUUGAUCACCAUUGCUUUCUUUAUAAUGUCAAGGAAGAUUUCAAGAGAAAAGGUGAAGCAGGAAUGCAGGAAGAACUUCUAUAUAGAAUCUCAAGGGAAAAUGGGCAGCACUUAAGUUCCAAAAUGAUUAUGGAAAGGCUUAGUGGGAUAAAACUUUUUGUUGUUCUCGAUGAUGUGGACAGUUCUGAUCAAAUUGAUGCCCUACUUGGAAAACAAUGUUCAUUUGGUCGUGGAAGUAGAAUCAUCAUAACGACCAGAGAUAAGGGCCUACUUAGAGAAUUUGAUGUAUACGAACCGGGAUAUUUAGAUGAAGAUCAAGCUCUUGAACUCUUUAAGAAGUAUGCCUUCAGAACAAUCGAACCCUCAACAGAGUACGAUCAUCUCUCACAGAGUGCCAUAAAAUAUGCUCAAGGUCUGCCUUUAGCACUUAAAGUCUUGGGAGCCUCUCUCUAUAAGAAAAGUGUACGUGAGUGGGAAGUUGAGUUUGAAAAAAUAAAGAAAUGCCAGCACCUGGGAAUUGAGGGUGUACUAAGGACAACCUACGAAGGACUAGAUCAUCUACAGAAAACAGUACUUCUAGAUAUUGCAUGUUUCUUUAAAGAAAUGAAAAAGGACUAUGCAACAGAAAUUCUGGAGGCUUGUGGCUUCUUUCCCAUAAGUGUAUUACCAGUUCUCGUUGAUAGAGCUCUUGUGACAAGCACUGGAUACUAUGUUGUGUUGACAAUGCAUGAUUUACUAUUGGACAUGGCCUUGGGAAUUGUCCGUCGAGAAUCAAGCCUCAGUAGGUUGACGAGUUCUGAUGAAAUUGAGGAGGUGUUAACUCAAAACAUGGAUACGAAAGCAGUUGAAAGUAUAGACCUCGACUUGUACCACUCAAAAGGCAUACGCAUAAAUGCUAAAGCUUUUGUUCGCAUGACGAAACUAAGACUGCUUAGAAUCCGAUAUAACCGAUCCAUAGACUUUGUUGAUGAUUAUUAUGGUUCACGGGGGGAAUUAUACCAUCUAAUUGAUGACUGUAAACAACAAGUGAGUGGAGAGUUAAAGUUCCUUUCUCACGAGUUGAGGUGUCUCAUCUGGCAUGGAUGCCCCCUGAAAUCUUUGCCAUCCAAUUUCAACCCAAAGCAUUUAGUUGACCUUGACAUGCGUUCUAGCCGCAUCAGACAACUUUGGAAAGGAACCAAGCUUCUGAAGAAGUUGAAAUACAUUGAUUUGAGUCUAUCUCUAUACCUCAAGGAGACGCCCGACUUAACUGAGGCCACAAAUCUUGAGAAAGUAAACCUUGAAGGUUGUACAAGUUUAUUGGAGGUUCACCCAUCCAUCUCUGAUCUUAAGAACCUCGCUUUCUUGAGUCUAAAAGGGUGCAAAGAGCUUAAGAUUCUUCCAAGCAGCUUCUGUAUGGAAUCUCUUAAGACCCUUGAGCUUUCUGGCUGCUCAAAUGUCGACAAAUUUCCUGAGAUUUCAGAAGUUAUGGCCGAGCUACCACGGCUUUCUUUAGAUAAGACUGCAAUUAAAGAACUGCCCUCAUCAAUAAAAAAUCUUAGGGGGCUUGUCACUUUGAGCCUAAAAGAUUGCAGAGAACUUGAGAGUCUCCCAAGCAGCAUUUGUCAACUCAAGUCCCUUAGAUAUGUUACUCUCUCUGGGUGUUCUAAGUUUAAGGUGUUUCCAAAAAUUGUGGGGGUAGAAGAUAUGAAAGGAUUAAUAGAGCUUCACAUGGAUGGAACGUCUAUCGAAGAGUUUCUGCCAUCAAUUUCAGCUCUUAAAGAACUUGUUGUCUUGAGUCUAAGAGAUUGCAAACAGCUAAAGAGUCUUCCUAGUAGCAUUCAUAUGAAAUCUCUUGACACACUUAUUCUUUCUGGAUGUUCGAACCUUCAGAAGUUUCCGGAGAUUUCAGAAAAAAUGUGGAGGCUCUCUGAGCUUCAUUUAGAUGAUGUUGCAAUUGAAGAACUGCCGCUGUCAAUUAAAAACCUUUGCCAGCUGGAAUCUUUGAGCCUUAAAGAUUGUGGAGAACUCAAGAGUCUUCCAAGCAGCAUUUUUGAACUUGAGAGCCUCAGUAUGAUUACUGUCUCUGGUUGUUCAAAGUUUAAGGUGUUUCCACAAAAUGAAGAAGAUUUGGAAGGACUACAAAAACUUGUUACAUUGAGGCUAGAAGAUUGUGGAGAACUUAGGAGUCUGCCGAGCAGCAUUUGUCAACUCAAGUCCCUCAGAUUUGUUGCUCUCUCUGGUUGUUCAAAGUUUGAAGUGUUUCCGGAAAUUUUAGAAGCUAUGGAAGAAUUAAGAGAGCUUCAUUUGGAUGGAACAUCUGUCAAAGACCUUUCCCCAUCAAUUGAACGGCUUAAGAGGAUUAUGUUAUUGAACAUGAGAAACUGCAGAAGCCUCAUCUUUCUUCCUGAAAAUAUCUGUAAUUUGUCAUACCUUACAGGUCUCACUCUCUCAGGGUGCUUGAAUCUCCAUAACUUGCCCAAGAACUUGGGGAAAUUAGAAUCCUUGGUGGAUCUUGAAGUACAGGGAAGCGGUAUAGAGCAACCAUUCUCUCUCUUGCAACCAAAGAAGUCACCAUCAUCAUCAGCCAAUUGCUUAGUUGGCAUGGAUCGCCAUAUAAAUAAAAUGCAAUCGCUAUUAUGUCUUGAUCAGGUGGAUGAUGUUCGUAUUGUUGGAAUAUGUGGAAUUGGGGGUAUCGGCAAGACAACCAUUGCUACAGCUGUAUAUGAUAAAAUUGCUCCUCAAUUUGAACACCACUGUUUUCUUGAGAAUGUCAAGGAAGGUUUCACAAAGCAUAGUGCAGAACAAAUGCAGGAAGAACUUCUGACCAGAAUCUUAAAGGUAAAGGUGCAGAGUUUAAGCAUUUUGAACAGAGGCUCCAAUAUGCUUAUCGAAAGGCUAGGUACGAAAAAAGUUCUAGUUGUUCUUGAUGAUAUAGACGAUAUAACCCAGAUUGAAACCUUGCUUGAAAAGCCAUAUUCAUUUGGUGGUGGGAGUAGGAUCAUUGUAACAACUAGAAAGGAAGAACUAAUGAGUGGAUUUAAAAUAUAUCGUCCCCAGCUAUCAAAUGCUGAAGCUGUUGAAAUCUUCAGACAUUUUGCCUUCAGAACAAUUGAACCCUCGAGAGGGUAUGAUGAUCUGUCACAGCGUGCCGCUCAACAUGCUCAAGUGCCUUUAGAUCUUAAAGUCUGGGGAGCUUUUCUUUUCAACAAAAGUAUACAUGAGUGGGAAGAUGCCUUGACGGAUAAGCACACGGUGUAUUGGGUGCUAACAACACACUUUUAUGGCCUACAUUACUCGGAGAGGAACAUAUUAAUAGAUGUUGCAUGGUUCUUUGAAGGAAUGAAAAAAGAGUAUGCAACAAAAAUUCUGCACAAUUGUGGCCUCUUUCCCUAUAGUGCAUUAAGAGGUCUAAUUGAUAGAUCUCUCGUAUCUAUAUCAGAAAGGGACGGGACUAUCAAACUGCAUGAUUUACUACAGGGGAUUGUUCGGGAUUGUGUUCGCCACGAAGAUGAACAUGAACCUGGAAACCGCAGUAGAUUAGAGGGUUACCAGGGAAUUAGGUGUUUGUCAACUCCAGAUCAGGUUACUAAAGCAGUUGAAGUUGUAACCCUUGAUCUGUCGAACUCAAAAGAGGUAUACUUCAUUGCAGAGGCUUUUGUUACAAUGAAGAAAUUAAGACUGCUCCGACUUUAUGAUAACGGCUCCAUUAACUGUAAACAACAUGUGAUUGGAGACUUUGAGUUUAUUUCUCAUGAGUUGAGGUGUCUCAUCUGGCAUAGAUACCCCGUAAAGUCUUUGCCAUCCAAUUUUCACCCAAAGAAUCUUGUCGACCUUGACAUGCGUUUUAGUCGCCUUGAACUACUUUGGGAAGGAACCAAGCUUCUGAAGUACUUGACAUUCAUCAAUUUAAGUCACUCUCAGUAUCUUAAGGAAAUCCCCGACUUAACAACGGCUACAAAUCUUGAGAAGCUAAUUCUUGAUGGUUGUACAAGUUUAUUCGAGGUGCAUCCAUCCAUUUGGAAUCGUAAAAACCUCAUUUUCUUAAGUCUAAAAGGUUGCAGACAACUUGAGAUUCUUCCAACCAACAUCCAUAUGAAAUCUCUUAAGACCCUUAAUCUUUCUGGCUGCACAAAUCUUGAGAAGUUUCCGGAGAUUUCAGAAGUUAUGAUGGAGCUAUCAGAGCUUGGUUUAGAUGAGACUGCAAUUAAAAAACUGCCCUCAUCAAUUGAACGGCUACAGGGGCUUAAUGUAUUAAGUAUGAGAAACUGCACGAGCCUUGUCUCUCUUCCAGACAGCAUCUGUAGUUUGGCACACCUUACAUUUCUCAAUCUGUCUGGGUGCUCAAAACUUUCCGACUUUCCUUACAGCUUGAGGAAUACACAAUCAUUGACAAUCAGUGGUUUAGAAGAACUCACAUUCUUUAUGAGAAACAAAGAAAUAGAAAGUGAGAUUUCAUCAGACGAGUUCAUCAGUCUCUCUGAAAAUUCAUCAGAGUCGGGGGAAGAGGUUGAUGGAAAAGAAGAGAGAGUGGAGAUGGAGGGGGUAGUGCAAAGGGAUGAUUGCUCCACGGUAGGAGGGAUAUUGGGGGCCUUAUACUGUUUCUUGAGUUGGCUGCAUGGACUAUAUGUUCGAGGAAAAGGGAGACUGGGUCGCCGGAUUCACGGGAUUGUCCGGGAAUCGUUACAUUAAUUAGCCAUACAGAUAGGUCUUCACACUUUGCAAACAACUUAUGCACCGAAUCGUCUCACUGAACACCCAUGUUGGUGCUCCUCCAGCUGCCUUGAGGAGCCAAUUGCAGCUAUUUUUUUUGUUCAUUGAUUGCUUAAAUUAACAGAUGAAUGGCUUGCAGGGUAGCUAACACAUGUCUUGGACAUAAGGAUUUUCCCUAUGGCUCCAAGCAUCCACUGUAUUUGUCAUCCUAUUACAUCAAUGAAACCAGAUUGAUUGUUCUCUUCGCAAAGGACUUGCUUUGGGUCCGUGGAAGUUUGUGACAAUAUGAGUGUCAUAGUAGUUGAUUUGAACAGAUCCAAGAGAGAAGGCAAAGCUGAAAUUGCAGUUGUUUGGUCAAGGUACACAGCGGUAGAUAAAAUGCUUGAAAUGUUGUGUUAUUUGGGAAUGCUUAUAGCAAUUUCCUUGUUUAACUAGUUGAUGCAUGUCUGGUGUUGCUGUGUGGUAUUUGGAAUGCAAGGAAUGCAAUUGUUUGGAGAGGUGGCAGUGGUGAUUCAAGGUUAAAUGUUCAGAGGGAUCGUACUUAUAUUGAUGACUUUUGCGGGUUCAGACUGUGUAUCCAAAGAGGCAACCAAGUCAACUUAGUAACCGGCAGUCCUCCAUCUGCGAGUACAAAGUUGAAUUGUGACUGUUGGCGCUUGUGGGAGUGGAAUUGUUGGCUUUGAGGGCUGGCGUGCUACUUGCAAGGCGACAUCACUAGGCUAAUACUGAUUAUGAGUGUGAUGGUGCUCUAUGAUGAAUGUAGUGUCUCGCAUGGACGCCAAUACUUCCUUCUCGGAUCAAGAGGGCAAUGGAGCUGCACACGGUUUAGCUCCCUUUGGUUCCUUUUCUGCAGAGACUAUUUCUGGUUAGGAAAAUGAGCCUGUGUUGGCAAUUUCUUGCAUUGCAAUUUGCAGGUGAGUAAUGUUUGUAAAAUGCCAAAUUGUCUUAUUUGUUCUUGUUGGACCGGACUUUACUCAAUGGAUGUCGAUUACUUCUCAACUA